GGACUACCGGGGUAUCUAAUCCCGUUCUCUCCCCUAGCUUUCGCGCCUCAGCGUCAGAAGAGGGCCAGCACGUCGCUUUCGCCACCGGCGUUCCUUCCGAUAUCAACGCAUUUCACCGCUCCACCGGAAGUUCCACAUGCCCCUACCUCCCUCAAGCUUACCAGUAUCAAAGGCACUUUUCCGGUUGAGCCGAAAGAUUUCACCCCUGACUUGGCAAGCCGCCUACGCGCCCUUUAAGCCCAGUGAUUCCGAACAACGUUCGCACGGUUCGUCUUACCGCGGCUGCUGGCAC
rnacentral:rRNA from 1 species